rnacentral:rRNA from 1 species
UACGGGGGGGGCAAGCGUUGUUCGGAAUUACUGGGCGUAAAGGGCCAGUAGGCGGCCAACUAAGUCCGACGUGAAAUCCCAAGGCUUAACCUUGGAACUGCGUCGGAUACUGGAUGGCUUGAAUUCGGGAGAGGGAUGCAGAAUUCCAGGUGUAGCGGUGAAAUGCGUAGAUAUCAGGAAGAACACCCGUGGCGAAGGCGGCUCUCUGGGACGGUACUGACGCUGAGACGCGAAAGCGUGGGGAGCGAACAGG